rnacentral:lncRNA from 1 species
UUUUAGGGGCGCAUCUGCGGCAUGUAGAGGUUCCCAGGCUAGGGGUCUAAUCGGAGCUAUAGGGGCCGGCCUAUGCCACAGCCACAGCAAUGCCAGAUUUGAGCUGUGUCUGUGACCUAUAUGUCCUGCAAUGCUGGAUCCUUGACCAACUGAGUGAGGCCAGGGAUCGAACCCGCAACCUCAUGGUUCCUAGUCAGAUUCUUUUCUGCUGCACCACAAUGGGAACUCCCCUUUUUGACCUAUUUCAUGGGUCCUAAGCUAGUCACCCAUUAGGGCAGUAUUCACAGCAGUUGCACACAAAUAUUGAGAAAAAUUUUGCAAUAUUAAGCAAUAUGGUUGAUUUAGAUUUAUAUUUAUGUAGGUAUAGGCAAAAUGUGGGAAGUUUGUUGCCAUUCUUUAUAUUGGCAACUAUAUGGAUAUUGAAUGCUAGAAUUGCAAAUAGUUUUAUUCUAAUAAGAUAUUUGAUGACAUUUGAUUAAACUUUCAAAAAGUUAAAAAUUAUCUUUCAGUCAUUUUUAUUUAAAAUUUUGAUAUUCAUCAAAUUUGUAUUUUAAAAUAGAAUCUUUCCCUUUUAAUAAUAAUGGAUAAUUAGAUUGUCUCAAGUGAUCGAAUGCAAAUUACAUGAGUCCUAAUUAUAAUAACAUAAUUAGUAAUUUCUUUGAAAUAAAAGUGGGAAAUUAAUGUAUAUCUUUAUUUUAUUCCUCAUCCAAACACUGUCAGCCCAUCAGUGGAACACACAGAUAUAAUAAAUACAAUUGUUUUUGUUUAUUGUUAGUUAUAUAAAAAUCAUAGCUUUACACAUAGUAUUCAAGUUUGUCUUUAUAAAGGUCUAUUCAUCAAGGUAGAAGCCUAGAACGUAUUUACUGUUGGUUUACAUUUUGGCAUCUAAAUAAUUGGAAUGUUGUUGGGGGCCUUCAUCUCUGCUCACUCUGGCUCUCAAAUGUUAGGAUUGGGACUGGCCUAGGGGUGGUCGGGGCCAGAGUUUUGGUGGGUGGGGUGGAUUUAAGGAAGUGUUUUCAAGAGACAAGGGCCCAUGGGUGAAAGCAUUGAGGAAGGAGAGCCCAGUGCAGGUGGAGGCCGAGGGGCGUGGAAAACUGAGAGGAUGAUGGACGGUAGAUGGCAUAUCUACUCUGAUCUUACGGCAUUCCUGGGGCUUGCAUGGUGUCCAGCACAUAGUUAAUGUAUUUAAUAUGUGUCGAAUGAAUGAAAGAAGGAAUUUGGAUUCUAUACUCUAUAUAAUGUGGAACCAUUUAGUUUGAGGAGAGGGGACAGAAUCAGAAGUGUAUUGUAGAAAGAUAACUGACAAUGGAAUCUAAAAUUUAUUUGAAAGCUUAGCUGCUGGAAGAAGAAAGAUGAAUUUCUUUACUUACAUGUUACUAAUUUAUAUAUAUUGUGAUUCUUUAUUUCCUGAACAUUCAAAUAUGGAUAUCUAAAAUUAGACACUAAUCUGGCCUAACCAGGCAUUUAACAGUCCAUGAAACCCCAGGGCCUUGCUAUCUGAUACAAUGAACAUCAUCUAUAUGUGCCUUUUGAACAGCUGAAUUGUGGCUAGUUGAAAAUGUCCUGAAGUGUAAAAAGCACACCAGAUAUUUCAAAGAUCUAAUACAAAAUAAAAUGGUAGAAAAUCUUGUUAGUAAUAUUUUACAAAUCGAUUACAUAUUAAAAUAUGAAUAUUUUGGAUAUAUGUAAACUAAAAUAUUGAAAUUAAUUUCAUUUGUUUUUUGUCAUUUUUUAAAAUGUGGCUACUAGAAAUGCAAUGUGCCUUGCAUUUUCAGCUUGCAUUAUAUUUUAUCAGGUGGCACUGCCCUAGUGGAUGCCAACUUUGUAUAACUCUUUAGCAGUUGUGACCCCAAAACAAUGCACAUCAAUUGCAAAGGGAAGGUGCAAAUGUUCCAAGUGAUGCAGAAGUUGAUAGAGCCACUGGAAGUGGUACUAAACUUCCCAGAUCACCAGUAAAGUCUUGUCAGUGUAGAAUUUAGCAGAGUUGGACCAGUGAAACACAAAGGAAGAGAAAACUAACAAGGACAUCAAUUCAAAGAAAGUAAUUGAAUAUUAUAAGAGGACCUUGUAGAAACCUAUGAAAUCUUUGAAUACUUUUUGCAACAAUGAUAGUCAUGAUUAAGCCGCAAAAAUUAAACAGAAAAAGAAUAUCUCAUCACACAUCAAAAAGAGCAAACAAUAAGGCUCAUUCAAAGAAUUUGAAGAAUUAGUGCAGAGUUGUAAAGGUAAACAGCAUUUUGCUGUGAGGUAGAUCAAAUUUCAUAGGUUGUAGUUUUAUUUUUAAAUAUAAAAUCCUAAAGUUCCUGGUGGCCUAGCAGUUAAGGAUCUGGCAUUGUCAUUGCUAUAGGACAAGCCACUGCUGUGGCACAGGUUCAUUUCCUGGCCAGGAACUUCUGCACACCACAGGCACAGCCAAAACAAACAAACAACAAACAAACAAACAUAAAAUCCCAAUUCAACUGGUUUUCAUUAUUUACUACCAUAUUUAGUUUCUGAUUUUAAUUACAUGUAAAUACAUGAAAAAUAUUUAGAUGGCUGGUUAAUAAAAAGGAAUCUCAUACACACACACAUAGUAUACAACAAUUUCCUUUAGUUUAAACCAUAAAAGCAGAGUUUUGUUUUGCAUAGUCUGAGGGGUUUUAACCAGCAGUUGGCUUUUAGGGCCUUGGUCUUUCGAGUAUGUGUCCACUAUUCAGAGCCCCAGGUAUCUUUCUCAUGUAUCUCUUUGUUUACAAUCUUCAUUUUUACUUUCUUAUAAGCAGAGUGAGAACUGAUAGAUAUCUAGAGAUUUGAAUACUUUAAUCCCAAUCUUUUACAAUCAUCAUACCCACAAUUAAUUUGACGGAGACUCUUCAGUGUUUCACCUUCAUUCAUUCACAGCAUUUAACUUAGUUUUCAUUGUAGCAAUUUUCGUUUUGCCUUAAAUACUCUUUUUAUUAAUUUAAUGUUCAGUUGAUUAGUAUUUAAAUUCCAUAAGGACAGUUGUAAUAUGUAUAAUCAGGUUUGGGAACAAAUAUGAUGGAUUCUCUUGGGGUCCAUGACUCACCUGGUGGGAGCAGAAGUGUGCAGGUGUUGUGAGCAUUCGUUGUGCUGUGGCAUCCUUUUGCUUGCUGUGCACCUCACCAGGAAUGACAGGUAUCUGUUACCGGAUGAGUCAGCUAAAUGGAGGUUGGUUAAGAAACUUUCCACUGUAACGUCACAGUGUAUUUGGAGGGGGUCAAUUAUCCGAUAAAUGACAAGAUUUCCUUACUUUGAACAUCUGGAAACCCCUAGGAAAGUACAGUGUCUGGAAAGAGCAUGGAGAAACCAAGAUCUAGCCCCAACCCGCCUAUAAGUAUUCCAUAGUACUAUUUAAAAGCCAGAUAGAACACCAGCUUUUACUCUAUUCUCAAUAUGAUCUUACUCUUUACAUCUAUCUAAGACACAGAUCUCACAUACAGGGUCAUGAAAACACAUACAUACACUUAUGGAUCUGAAAUUUUAUCAGAGUCAGCCUGAUAAAUACACAUUAAUAAAAAUAUUAGCAGAAGGGAGUGUUUCAUUUAUUUAAUUUUGUAAAUAUGAAAAACAACAAACAAUAUCCUCAGAGAAAGAGAAAAUUCUUUGUAUGUACAUAGUAAGGUAUUUAAUAAAUACAUGAUGAAUCAUGUACAGGCUGAAAUAUUUCUGCCAGUUCAUAUUAAAUCUGUUCAUUCUACAGACUUGUGGUUGCUAAGGGGGAAGGGAAGGGCAUGGGAUAGACUUGGGAUCUGGGGUUAAUAGAUGCAAACUUACUGCCUUUGGAAUGGAUAAGCAAUGUGAUCUUGCUGUAUAGCACUGGGGACUAUAUCUAGUCACUUAUGAUGGAGGAUAAUGUGAGAAAAAGAAUGUAUAUAUGUAUGUAUGACUGGGUCUCUUUGCUGUAGUGUAGAAAACUGAGAGAACACUGUAAACCAGCUAUAAUGGAAAAAAUAAAAAUCAUUUAAAAAUAAAU